CUAUAUGAACAAAUCAAGCGUUGAAAUUGACGACGGAUACCGAAAACAUAAAUACAUGAAUCUAGUAUAUCUCUCUCUCUCAAUAGAUUAUGACAAAAGAAAAAUGACCAUAUAAUAUGUUCAAGUGUUUUUGGUCCCCCAAGAAGAAGAAGACGAAGAUGAAAUAAGAAAGAAGAUGAAAAGAAAUGAGGAUAGGAGAUAGGAACAGUGUCACGAGGAAUGCUUUGGAUCUUCUCGGAACAUAUCUUGUCUAUAUGUCUCCUUGUUUUGUCUCACCAGCACGUGAGAUUACAGUUUCUUCCUCUUCGU